CUCAGUCGUGGCUUGACCUCAGCUAGUCCUUGUCUGCACAGUCUGACUUUCUGGUUCAGACUUUCUCAGGUGGAGCAGAGAAGCAGAGCACGCCGGACUCGUUCAACUGGAUCACGUUUGCAUGCCUGCACACAAGCUGCUCUGUGCUCACGGGUGUGGUCAAAGUCUUUAAACUGUAACUCAGCUGUCUCACCUGAAUACGUGAUAAUAUUACUACAGGAACAAAUGCAGGUACACGAUUGCUCACAGUAGUCCAGGAAAUAAUGGCACCCCAUCUGCCCCGUGCCUUAAUGGAAAAUGGACCACGACGGCAGCAUCAUUGAGCAGACGUGAUUUCUGCGCAUGUGCAAACUUAAACAUAACAUAACACGUGCACAAGCCUUAGUGGGUGUUAUUGUCUCCAUGGAGGCGUCACUUAGUGCAUGCAUUGUUCAUUUUAUAUAUUGAUUUUUACUCAUUUUUAUAAAAUAGUCCAAUAAUUUUGGCGUUGACUCCAAGGCACGCCCACACUCAAAGACACCCUCAUUUAGACGAAAGAUUCUGUGGCCUGCAGAUGAACCUGGAGAAUCAAGUCGAACAUAAAGAUUGGUUAAAUGCCCAAGUUUUCCAACAGAUACCAUUUGGUUUUUUUUAACAUAACAUUAUUGAAUAAGACCAGUGUUGGGUAAGUUACUCAAAAAAAAGUAAUCCAAUACAGAUGACCAAUUACUACUUUACUGAUAAUCUGAUUACAUGACUGAUUCCUGCAUGUAAACAUUAAUCAGAUUACUAAUUACUUUACUUUCAUGUUACUUUCAAAACCUCUCAACCCUACAAAAAUACACUACAAAGUGAAACUCACACAGCUAAGCUAUCACUGUAUGGGUUGAGCUGCUACAGAGCCAUGUAGUGUUCAUUAUCUUCCAUUACCUUCUGCUCACAUCAUGUUCACGUAAACUGGAACUCAUAUAGACAUUGACUCCGUUUACAUGGACAGCAGUAAUCUAAUUAUUGACCCUACUCUGUGUUAGAUAAUAAUGUGAUUAAGGUGUUUAUAUGAAUCGCUUUUAGAAUACUCCUGUCAUGUUCCCAUUUUACAUGUUAUAGAACAUAAUUAGAUUAACAGCACAUGUCAUUACGUCACCGCGCCACGCCGUCCGACGUCCCUCCAGAAUUUCACGUAUCAACAUACAGUUCGUCUUCGUUAUGGUACCGUAUACAGUUUUGGGUGUUUUUAUUUAAUUUUUUUUACGCACACUUUAAGUGCGGUUAAUUAUUAGUCAUGCUAUACGUGCAAAUAGACGACUGCUUGAAGCUGUGGGCUGCGUCUCAAACCGCGUAAUUACCGUUUAUAUAAUAGCCGAGAUACAUGUAUUUUUCCCCACUACAGGCCUAUAGUAGGAAAGUAUGCAGUUUGGGACGCGGCCGAACUCUCUUGUUCGCUGUAAAACGUAAAACUGCCGUGUGUGAUUGUGUCCUGUCGCAAAAUACAGUGAAAACUCUCACACAAUGUUCAUAAUGUGAUUAAGGUGUUUACAUGUCUGUAAUACACGUCCAUAAUGCGACUAAAACAGGAGUACUCCACCUGUCUUAAUUCGAUUAGUGAUUACUUCGAUUAUGACCUUAAUUAGAUUAAGGUAAGUAAAAACUGCUGUUUACAUGGUAGUUUCUUAAUCAAAGUAAGGUCUUAAUCGGAUUAAGAGUGGAUUAUUGUUGUCCAUGUAAACGUAGCUAUUUAUACACCUUGUUUUCCUGCUCAGCAUCAGAGGAUGUUACUGCUUCAGUUUCAACGCAUUUACUGGUUUAAAUAAAUAAUCGACAUAUAUCCAUUUUUCCUCACACUGACUGUGAGCUAGCAUUUGGCAGAAUUGAGAAACCGUCAGCCAAUAAGACGCGAGUGUUGACACGUAUUUUCCUGUAAACGCUGUCUGAUUGGUCCGUUCACUGAAGAUGAAGUUUAGUUACAUAGUGACAAACUGCUCCACGUGGAGAAUUAUUCGUUGCUAAAGAAAAUAAAUCUUUGGGGCUACAGCACCCAACGCCCAGGCCAGGUUACAACCCUGACAACCGUGCAAAACAGGGUUUAUUUUAAAAAUGUAUUUUACUUAGCGUUGUACUCUUAACAAUAAAUUUGUAAUGCAAGUAACGUGAUUUUAUUGACAUCGUUAACUGUAAUCAAAUGACAAAUUUAAAAUGUAAUGCAUGUUACAUUACUACGUUAUCAGAAAAAGUCAUUCGAAUACAGUAACAGUUACACCCAACUCUGGAGAAGACACUACCUGCAACAUUCUGCAUUUAUAAUCUGUUACAGAUCUAUGACUGGCAAGUUAUCUUCUCUCACAUUCUCAGGAAUUGAACUCACAAACUCCUAGAGAUAUAAGGUGCACUCAAAUCACUCUGGUUGUCUGUGAACGUGUCUUAUCUUGACGUCUGAUUGCCUUGAUUGUCCUGGAAACACCUCUUUAGUGCAAAUCUACAUAGCUAGAGAACACAUGCAAAAGCUAUUAUUUGACCAUAAAUCAGAUGUACUCUAGAUACCGUAAAAAGGAACUGAUUUCCUAAGGAAAUCAUUUGUGUAUAAGUUCUAUUUGUGCACUGCCAUGAAAUGCUUGGGGGAACGCUGGACUUCACUUCCCAGCAGCCACUGCACCGCUGUGUCACGGUCACAUGACCACCUGCACCUGAACUUCAUUCACGUUAAUGAGUACUUACAGGUAUAUAUAACCACAGUUUGCGGUGCACUUUUGUCUUUCUUUGCCGUUGUUUUUGGUGUUGUGUUAUGGUCUUUGUUUUGUGUUUAUUCCUAGCCUCAUCGUGUACACCAGUGCUGUUGUACAGUAUUUGGGUACAUUUAAAAAAAUAUAAAAUUCAAGCUUGUAGCAGUAUGGUGAGUCAGAGGUUCGGGAAUGUAUAUAAUCUUUACCGCCCACUUCACUUCACCUCCCAGAAAUCAGUAGAUAUCACUAAAAAUGAGUGAUUUACAUUUGCUUUGUUACGUCACAAAUGUGUGAAAACAUGGUUAGACAAAAAAUCUAGUUUAUCCAUCAGGAAGUCAAGUCUGGCGUAAAGUAUGAUUAUGCCUUUGGUUUAUAGCAUGUUACUACACAUUGUGUGUUGCAAGGAAAUUGUAUGGAUCAGUCCCAAGUUGAGGUAAUCCCCCGAGGAAGAUAUGAAUGAUUAAUUGGAUCCUCCAGGUGAUGUCAGGUGUCUGGAGAGGGUCCAUCAGCAGGUUGUAAAGCAGAUGCUGCAGUAAGCACACCAGUCUCCAAAUCAGGCAUGCAUCAAUGGGAAAAUAGGAUGGCAUCAUUUAAGACAGAGGAGGUGCUACAUUUUUAAUAUAUUGCAGUGGAUGAGAGCAAAGAGAGAGGGUGAAGAAUUAUAUCAAUUUAAUAUUACAAUGAGCAAAUUUCUUUUGAUAAAAUUUGAGGUGGCUAAUAUUAAACAGUCAGCUAUAGGAAAUCAAUGAAUAUCUAGUUAGUAAGUGUUUAACAUUUCAUGUUAAAAAAAGGAACAAAUUGGCAAUACAUAAAAAAAAAAAAAUUGUUAUGACAGCCCUACUUUAGUCUGGACAGUUGUGAGUCAAUUCAAACCCAGAGACAAUUAAGGUGUGUCCCUGAACAAUGAAUUAGCAGCUACGACGAGCAUUAACAAGCACUGGAAAAGUGAAUUAACUGCCACAUGACACAUUCUUAAUCUUCCUGAUUUGUUGUGUCACAGUCUGUAUACACUAAUGCCUAGUGUUUUUCAGAGGAAUUGGCAUUCCUGGGGGGUAAGGUGGCUUAGUGGUUAGCACGUUUGCCUCGCACGUCCAGAGUUGGUGGCUCGAACCAUGCCUCCACCCUGUGUGCAUGGAGCUUGCAUUUUCUCCCCAUGCUUUGGGGAUUUCCUCUGGGUACUCUGUUCCCCUUCAAAGUGAACUCAACGUUGCGUGAACUUUAUGCUGUGGGAAGCUCCCUCAUGCGUGAUCAGCAUCUGAAGCUUGUGUAACAUCAUGCCUAUCAUCAUGACUUCUCAUUUGUAAGUCGCUUUGGACAAAAGCAUCUGCUAAAUGAAUAAAUGUAAAUUUAUAGGCCUGCCGUGAUUAGGUGACAUGGAAACUGUGGGUCUGGCCCCUGAGGGACACCAGCUCAUAGAUUCUGGUUUCACAACUGAGAUUGUAGAGACCAUGUUGAAUGCUAGAGCAUCAUCCAUGAGGAAAUUGUAUGCGCUCAAGUAGCGACUUUUUGUCUCAUGGUGUGAGGAACGUCAGCUAGACCCAGUGAACUGCGCAAUAGCUACAGUCCUGGAGUUCUUACGAGGACAUUUCUCAGCAGGGUUGGCUCCUUCUGCAAUCAGGAUCUACAUGGCUGCCAUUUCGGUCAGCUAUGCCCCUAUUAAUGGAGCCUCUGUGGGGCAACAUCCUCUAACUUCGAGGUUUAUGUGUGGUGUCAUUAGAAGCUUAUGACUCUAAAGGUAGCUCUUUGGCUGGACCUGGCAUCUCUCAAGUGAGUAGGAGAUCUGCAAGCUCUCUCUGUUGCCCCUUCCUGCCUUGACAUUGCCCCUGGAUUAGCCAAGGCCUUCCUAUAUCCUAGACUGGAUUGUAUUCAGUGUGUAUAAAGUGCCUACGUCUGCUCCCCAGCCAGAAGUGUUGCAGGCUUUUGCCCUCCUCCAUUCCUCACACCGGAACAAGAGAAAUUGCACCUACUGUGUCCAGUAAGGGCUCUCUGUACUUACAUCCACCGCUCCGGACAGUGGUGUAAGUCAGAGCAGCUGCUGGUCGGCUUUGGCGGUGACUGUAGAGGUGAUACUUUCUAAAAGCAGCGUAUCUCUAAUUGGAUAGUGGCUGCAAUCUCUAUCGCUUAUGAGGCGCAUGGUCUCGCUACGCCUCUGGGCAUAAGGGCUCAUUCCACUAGGGGUGUCGACUUUUCAAUGCUUUGUCUAAAGGGGUACCCUUACAGGAUGUUUGUGUUGCAGCGGGGUGGUCUAUGCCACACACAUUCAUUCGAUAUUACAGCCUGGAUAUACAUUCCACCCCGGGCUCGAGUGUCUUGCAGUGACCCUCGUGCUCAGAUCUUUUUAUACAGGCCAUACCCUCAGUAUGACGGAGUGGGUAUUCUCUUUCCCACAGCAUGGAGUUCACGCAAGGUUGAGUUCCCUUUGAAAGGGAGCAUCUGGUUUAUACAUGUAACCCUGUACGAGACUUUGCAUAGCUUUGUUAUACCAGGGCAGGCCUGUGAAUUGCGUCUUCGCUUCAGAUAAUAAAGGCUGACGGCGCGGUUCACGGGUGUCCUUUAUUUAUCAUGCGACAUGCUUAAUUGCCACGUCACCUGAUCAUGGCAGGCCUAUAAAUAGGCAUGAUGUUACACAAGCUUCAGAUGCCGGUCACGCGUGAGGGAGCUUCCCAAAGUGUGGAGCUCACACAACUUCUCGUUCCCUUCUCGGGGAACAGGGUUACAUGCGUAACCUAGACAGUUUCCUCCCCCAGUCCAAAGACAUGCAUUGUAGGCUGAAUGGAAUCUCUAAAUUGUCCACAGUGUGUGAAUGUGUGUGCACAUGUGACCUGUGAUGAGUUGGCACCCCAUCCAGGGUGUCCCCCACCUUGCUCCCUGAGUUCCCUGGAAUAGGCUCUAGACUCCCCGUGACCCUGUGCACGAUAAACACUAUGGAAAAUGGAUGGGUUGAUUUGAAGACUUUUUGACAUAAAUCCAUCGAUGUGUGUUGCUGGAAAGUUGUGGGCAUGGGAAAUCAAUUUUAGGAGAAUUGUUUAUAUGUAUUUAAUUGAUGUUUAGUGCUUAUUUUCUCCACAGUUUUCUCAGUUUCGCCCCUUGACUGGCUCUUAUUGGUUGACACAUGAGAUCCACUGUGAAUAUUCUACCAACAAGUCCUCUUUUGUAACAGACAAUAUAGCCUAAGUUUUUAGCACUUGCAUGCAUUGUUCAUCAGCCAGUAAGAGACGUCAGACACAGCUCCAGGGUCCUGGGAUCAUCCCUGAGCUCCACUGUGUGUAUUGUUCUCCCCUUUUCCACAUGGGGUUCUCUGCUGUCCUUCCAAACACGUGACAGAAGGUGACUUGGCGAUGCUUAAUUGGCCCUAGGCGUGAAUGAGUGUGUGAAUGGUAGACUGGCGUUCUAUCUAGGGUGUAUUCCUGGGAUAGGCUCCGGAUCCACCACCACCCUGUCUAGCGGUUUCUGAAGAUAAAUUAAUAGAUAUAUUUUGAUGGAUACUUAACAUUUAAUUUAAUAUAUUGUGCAUUUAAUCAAUGCUACUGGGCUUGAGUUCACUCGCUUUGAUUUGAAUCUCAAUAUCCAAUAUUGACACAGAUUGUGUUUAUCCUGAGAGCUUGUCUUUGAAGCCAGUGGAUAUUAAAACAGUUAUGAGAAAGUGUACAGAAUAAUUAUCGUCUGACUCAGAGGGUGCAGUAAUACAAACUGAAAUAUUUUUCUUUGUGAAAGUCUGCCCAGUGUGUAACAGGAUACUUAGGCUUUAGCAAACCAAGCAAGAAAAUGGUGACAUGAGAUCUUGUCAUCACAGCCGUGAUUUACCACAGGGGUGUGGUCCAAGCCAAUCCUUUAAGCCUGUACCCAAACCCAAAUUAUCUUGUUCUGAACUGAGCAGGAGCUAAGUGGAGAACUGCUCAGUAAUUUUUAUUAGCGAUGAUUAAGAUGAUGAUUACUUUUGCUAGUAACCUGGGAGUGCCUCAGACACACUCAUAUUAUCUGUUAAUAUACAGAGGCUCAAUUUGGCCGGUCUGGUGAUCUCAAAAUGCUUGAAAUUCACAUUUGCUGUGGUCAGAUGAGAAGCAAAUCAUGUUUGAUAUAAGAUCAAUGGACUGCAACAACACCUUGCCAGGAGAGAAAUACCUUCUGUUCACCGUCACACCACGUUCUCAUUUCUGCUGGUUUCCUAGCAAGUUUGCAAACUAAAGUAGCUGGAAAUCAGCACUGAGAAGUUCUUUGGUUAAUGUCGGCUGGGUGUGUGAUGGGUGGUAGCACACCUUACAGUAUCUCAAUUGCUGUUCUGCCCAUUUUGCUUUGCCCACCUGCAGUACUUCUAGUAAAAGCCAAUCAUUGGCCAUCUUGUGACCUCCAUAGGAAGUUCUUUCGAGUUCUGCAAGGCCAGGUUCCAACCUAUCUGAAUGAGGAUACAACGUUUUAACCACUGGAUUUGAAAUGGCCGACAAAAAUGGUGUCCGUGGCUCCAGUAACAAUUGCUCAGCUACUUCAUGCAUGUUUCUCCAUAAAAAAGCAGAGCAAGAACCUGAUAGGCUAGGCGCUUUCUGCUAACCUCUUAACCAACAAAGUGAUCGUCUAUUUUUGUACGUUCUACUCCUUUCAGGCAAAUGUCUCCAAAUUCUCCUUUAAUAGAACCUGAAAAAAGAAGCAAUCAAUGCAAAAGCUUUCCAGGUUCAAAUAUUAAUUAAUCACUGAAAAUAAUAAUAAAUAAAUGAAAACGACAACAAUGUAGCUCUCUUUCAGAAGUAAGAUUACAUGUAAGAAAAACAGCAGCUUCUGAAUGUGUAUCUACAACUGAUAGUAAGUAUUUAGUAUGUUCACCAUAAAUAAAAAAUACCGUAUAAUGUGCACAUGUUUAUUCAUACCUAAUAGAGCAAAUGAGUCAGCAUAAGAAUCUGAUUGGCUGAUAACACAUUUAGCUGAAUCUGAAUGUGAUUUUUGGUACCACAUUUAGCCAUGUUUAGUGCUGCCCCAUUCGUAUCUUUAAGAAAUUACCCAUCUACUCAUACAGCCUCUGACUGCGGAUAAACGAUAUGAAACAUCAGACAUAAGAGACAGAUCGCUUAAGGAGGACUUUCAUUGUUUCGUCUUAUUCACUCCGAAGUUAUUUAUUCAUAUAACGAUCACUACAGUGCACAAAAAUACCACCUGCAUUACCGUGUCCGAGUUAUAAGCUGAAUUUAUAACUUGGCACUCUUUAACCUGCACCAUACAAUCAGUGCUUUGUGUGUGUUCGUGGGUGUUGCCAAAAAAAAUGCACCCUGUUUGCUAGAAUGAGUCAAAAGCACUUCAUCAUUGUCACUCACUGAAAUGCUUCAGAAAAAUCAAACAGUUCAACCUGAACAUUAUAUGCUAUGUGUUCUGUAAUACUACAGAAGUCAGACAGAGAGAGAGAGAGAGAGAGAGAGAGAGAGAGAGAGAGAGAGAGAGAGAGAGAGAGAGAGAGAGAGAAGCAGCAAUGAAGGGGCUCUAGUAUGAUUUUGACUGGAUUUGCCUUGUAACUACAGACACACACUUUCGCCACUUUUGCUGUUGUUUUCAUUGUUUGGUCUCCAUAGCAACCGCUUAGUAUGGGAGUGUGUGUGACUUCCUGUACAGAGUAACACAGUGAGCUUUCAUCCAGACUGUGUUUACACUCUCCCUGGAAUUAUAUAUCAGGACCACAAGAGUGACUCAGCCUGAAAAGAUCCCGCAAAUCUGAAGCACCAGUUCACGCCACUGGUUCUGCUGUUCAGUUUUAUUUCCUUUUUUUUUCUUUCUCGAAGUCAGAUUUACAGCUGAAGGAUACUCGUUUAGAUAGUCGUUUGCCAUUUAAAAAGGUUGUAUGGCAUACAGAAGUCAAAUUACAGGCAUAGUUCAAACACAGCCGUGCUACAGUAGUUUUUCAGUCAAUGUUUAAUCCCAUGUGGGCAGGAAUUUUGGGUGUGGACUCUUCACAACUCUUCACGACUCAACAAUAAAAAGUGUACUCUUUCUCUGGAAGUAGGUUGAUAGUUUAUACGAGCCUUGCUAAAAGAAAACACUGAGAAAAUCUCAGUGAUUUCUCUACGUAACGUGAAUUGUCUGAAUGCUUUAUGUUAAAACAUGUUCUGGUUACUGUUAAACUCCACCGGAACACAAUAGGACCUCCAACCAGGAAUUAACAUCAGAAUACAAUGAGAUACGCCAUGAGCCACGAGCCACGAGCCAUGAGGAGCAUGAUAUUCCAUUAAAAUAUCAUUACAGAAACAUAAAAUAAAUAAAGUACUGAUUUAUAAAGAAAACCUAACAUCUAGAAGAGCAGCAGUUCUGCUGGAAUGUAGAACAGAAAUUAAAUAAAAUAUAUUAUUUACAUUUACAUUUACAUUUAUUCACUUAGCAGACGCUUUUAUCCAAAGCGACUUACAAAUGAGAAAGAUAUUACAAAUAAAAUAUACAAAUAAAAUAUAUUAUGCCAUGCUGCUGGUUAUCAUUUCUGUUAAAAGCAGCUCAUACACAGGUACGUGUAGAGUAGACACCUCACAUCAACAGGUUGUGCAUCAUCAAUAAGUUUUCUGCCAAGACAUGUUUAUUUAACAUUUAUGGAAGGAGUCAUCAGUGGUAAAUAAGUCUUAAAUUCUCCAACAUCUUAAAAAUAGGAGUUUAUGCUUUGUGGUUUCGAUUUCGGCACAUUUACAACCUCAUUUACAUGCAAAAACUUUUAACUGAAGAGUCCAUCAAAGUGUGGAGACAAAAAAAAUUAAAUAUCAGUCCUUAGGCUUCCAUUCUCAGAUCAGUGAGGUUGCCAUAAACAGGUUUUCUGUUCUUUUCUCAGUGCAGGAAAACGUGGACAAAAUUCUCAUCUAUAUUAUCCGCCCACGUAUGUACCAUACUACACCACUACACACGGGGAGGAGUGAGCUUAGGGUGAAAAACACUGGCGUACACCUUGGCUAGCGAUAAGCCUUCAUCGCUUCUGGAAUGUGUAUCUACACCCAAUAUUCAUUAAGUAUUCAGGAGAUUCACAAUACUUAUUACAUUACAGCAUUUGGCAGAUGCCCUUAUCCAGAGCGACUUACAAUUAUCUCAUUUAUACAACUGAGCAGUGGAGGGUUAAGGGCCUUGCUCAGGGGCCCAACAGUGGCAGCUCGGCAGUGUUGGGGUUUGAACUCACAACCUUCCCAUCAGACGUCCAACGUCUUAACCGCUGAGCUCCUACUUCUCAUACUCAACGUAUACGUUAUAAUAUACUUUAUUCUACUUUCUCUCCACCCACAACUCCUUCACACACUUGACAGUUUACUUGCUUAGGGGCAUGCGUACACACACACACACACACACACACACACACACACACACACACACACACACAAACACAAACACGAAAAUUACCUAACAGGUUUAAAAUUUCACUUGAGGCUCAAGUCAAAAGUAGAUUUAUGUGCCACAUUGAAAUGAAAGCCUUCAGCUUACGAACAUCUGCAAUUCUAAGAAAUCACAGUCUGUUCUGGAAUGUACAGUGUGCCAGAUUUUGUCAGCAGAUUUUGCAUGUAUAAUAUAAUAUAUAAUGUGCACGAUGCAGAAUUACAGAUUUGGUAGUGCUUUAUUUCACGAGUCCCUCAUUGGGACUUCAUAACAUAUUCAUAUACAUUACAUAGUCCAUUAUAAAGCGGUGCUGGAGGACAUAUGAGGAUCUACGUCUUAUAUCGAGUCAUUGAGUGGUGACUGUUGAGGACUCUUUUUCUCGACAUGACGUAGAGAAAGGCUUCAGUUAUCAUCGCAGGUCGAUUGUUCAGACUGUCGUGUGUAAUUUUGAAUCCUUAUGUCGCACGUGAUUAGUUUGUCUUAUAACAGCAUAGUUAUGAAUCUUUGAGUCUCUUCUAUAAUGGAUCUACAUCACCUUGCGUCCUGCAUAGCGUAAGUUGAACGUGCGUUAAAAUCUAUUACGAUGCAUCAUUCCGAUACAAGUUUUAUUUUUUUAUUUAUACUCUAUAGUUCUUGCACCAGCCGUAUGAAUGAUGUUCAUGUCCUCAAACUUAAGUGGUGAUACAUAACCCUGUUAUGAAGAAUUAUGUACACCUUCCACAUUGUCACUUGUAUAAGAAGCACAUAGUCAAAAACUUUUCAACUUUUCAUAAAGAAUAAAGCAUUUAUAAAGGGUUUUUUACAGGGAUCAUUGUAUUGCUAGGCUCCCAAGCGGGUUCUAGUUUGGAACCCUUUUUGAUACUGAUAAAAGGUUCUGUAUAACACCAUUAAGGGUUCACGCUGGCAGACAACUCAAGAUCCGACUGCCCCCCAGUCCCUACCCAUCCCACCACCCCCACCCCAAGAGCGUAUGAAGUAUCCGUUCUCCGGUAUUUCCUUCGUCUGAAUUCGUUUAGCAAAACUGGUGAUCACUUCUGGUCCAGGACUUCCGGUCAAGUUAUUCAUUCAGCUGACAUAAGGGAAUCUCAAUAGGUGAUGCUGUAGCUGCUUCAUAAAAUUGUUUAAUAAACAUAAAAUGAAUGAUCGGUUUAAGCCGAGGACGUGGUUCCUAUACGCUGCGGUUCAUUCAGCUGACAGAAAAGUUUCGUAAAUGAGUGGAGUUGUGUUGUCAUGGUAACACUUUAUAACACUUUUGAUGAUGUUUUGAUCAUGAUCAUUUCAUGCUACUGGAUUAAGUAAAUACAGUAAUUACCGAAUUUAAGAUGGCAGCGGAUAUUUCAUAAAAGAGUCAUAAAGCUUUAUAAUUGUGAUGUAAAGAAAAACUACUGAGGUACGAGAUCAAUAUAUAUAUAUAUAUAUAU
ensembl:lncRNA